rnacentral:siRNA from 1 species
AGAAUAGGGUUGGACAUAUGAGUA